AAAGAUGUGAAGAACUUCCUUUUUGGGUCUUUGGAUGUGCCAUUAGUCAACCUGGAGAUGAGUUUGAAGAACUACGUUCAAGAACCUUCAGAAGAGCCUUUUGAUAUUGAUUCUGUACCUAAGGAGGUUAAGUCUCUUCCACUUGCCGAGAAGAA